AUACCAGUCAGAAUAGCUACUAUUAAAAAAUCGAAAAACAACAGAUCUUUGGAGGCUGUGGAGAAAAGGGAACAUUUACACAUAAUUGGACCAAAAAGACAUACGCACUUGCAUGUUCAUCGCAGCACUAUUCACAAUAGCAAAGACAUGGAGUCAGCCGAAUUGAGUAUUAACAAGACUAACAGAAGAAAUGUUCUAAAAUUUACACACUAAGUACAUCACAUUUUUCUAAUGAUCACGUUGAUAGAGCAACUUAGAAUCCAUGGUUUUAACAAACCAACAGGCUUAUAUACAUAUAUAUAAAAUAUUAUAUAUAUAUAUAUAUAUAAUAUAUGGAAUAGCCCCAUGGGCACGGGCAGCCCUGGGCCAAA
rnacentral:lncRNA from 1 species